GCUGUUAACUAGGUCGAUUUGUCUGCCCAAAAAAAAAAUCAAAUAAUUAUGUGUUUAGUUGGUGUUACGGGGAGAUUCCCUUCGUUCUCUUUGAACGCUUCUGUUGGCUCCUUCCAUUUCGAUGUGUGUGUUUUAAACACACACACACACACAAGAGGAUGAACUUUCCCUUUGUCUGUGUUACCUGUGCACGAUACCGUUAAAUAAGAGGAACAGUUAUCGAGACUAGAUGGAGUUGGCUUUCAAUUCAGCUCGGACGUAUACUCAUCCUUGACGGCCAUGACACACUUUGUGUGUCGCCGUUUGGGGUUGGAAGACGCGAGAAUCGAUCGACGGCCCAUGGACCGUCGUGACCCGCCGCCAGGAGGCACCAGCGAACGAUUCAAGAGUUAAAGACAAAACACAUUUCAAUUUUCAAGAACCAAUGGAAACAAGGGCAAACACACUUUCAUUUCACGUUUCCGAAAUUGAACAGCAGACACGAGAGGAGAACAACCUGGAGCUGAGAGACGUGUGCGGAUCGAUCCAGCCCAAGUCUCUCCAGAGAGGUCACAUUGCGCUCCACUUCUUGUCUGUCCCGUUUUAUUCUUUACUCCUCCUCUUGUCUCGUCUCUUUACGUAUAGAUCCUCUCUUUUUUAAGGCUCGGAUUGACACACAAACAUUGACACACAUAUUCAGGUUACACGUCCAGCUUGUGUUCUCAGAGCCUCCUUCUUUAAUGAUUACAUAGCGUCUUAUGAAGUCAGCUAUAAAAAGAUGAAUGGAAAGGACAGGAUCUAUAUACGCGACAGCCGGAUGAUUCACCAUGUCACAGCUCGGCGAUUGUUAAUGUGAUGCUCAAUGCCGUUGCUCUUGAUGUUGACGUCUAGCAUUAAGCGGGUUCAUGUUAACGUUCUUUUCACAAAGAAGUUCACGUCCCUCCUACACCCGUCGGCAGCCAAUAACGAGAUGUCUACACAAAUGUGGUGUUAGUUUAUUUAACUGUUCAAGGUUCUGUUUCUUCGUCUCUGACCUAUUGACCUCAAUUUGCCAUUAUCAUUUGAUUCAUUUCUUUACACGAGAAAGAUCGGCUGAAUCGAUCCCAGUGACGUCUAUCUGCAUUCGUAAUGUGGAAGAUGUGGGGGUGCCAUUUUCAAUGGAAUAUCAUGGCCCUGCGGGAGUUUCACCCCCCCUCCUUAUAAAUGUUUUCUCUCUUUGAUUGUGACGCACGUGCUCUAUACUCGCAAAACAAUUUUUUUUUUUUUUCGA